GUGACGAGCAUCCAAUGUGAAUUGUGCGUCCGUUUUAAAGUAAUUUUACAUUGUUUUCAUCAAAAUAUAGUACGAUUGUGUUUGAAAUUCGUGAAUUGUGUAUAUUUCGCUAUCAAAGUUUAGUGAUAACUUGGAUAAACGUAUUAAAUGCAAUUUAAAUUGAACAUUGUGUUUGUUAUACGGCCGCCUUUAUGGGCCUCCGAAUGGCGCGCAAAUAAAAGAGAUCGAUAGAUGUAUUGCUAUCUCUUUCACACUUAUGGCGGAUAGGAGGGAGCGAGUAUCGGAAUAGAAUGGUUCAAGAUAUUGUAUUCUUACAAAAUAUUAAAGAAAAAUCCGGGUGGCUAUUUUUGAGUUUAAAUAAAAAGUGCCUACAAACCAAGAAUAAAGUCAGCGUGUCAACUUAUUACUCGAACAUACAAGAAUGAACGUUCCUUUUACACGAAGAGCGCCAGUGCAACUAUAGAGAUUGAGGCCCAGGUAAAAAUCUGUCGUGGCCGAGUAAGGAAAAUUUUACACGGGUGUCUUUUUACCAAUGAAAAUUUUUACCAACAAUGUCUCUCUAAGAGAUCUAGGAACAUUGAGAGACAAAACCUCAUCAGACUUUUGGUAUUGCGGCUAUAUGAUUAUCCACCAGGGAAGACGGUUAUAGGUCAAGAGCUUUCUAGUUGUGGAUAAAAAAAAUUAAACUUCAUGAAUUUACUUGAAGAGUUUUCUUCUCUAAUAACCGAUGUACAUUCUAGAUGCGUCUUGCCCUGGUCAAAGAUGGAAAGACCAAAAGCAAGCAUUCUUUAU